GUUGAAGCACCAGUUCUCAUAGGAUAACUGAAGUUAAGUAAUGCUGAGCCUGUUCAGUACCUUGAUGAGUGACUGCUUGGAAAUACCAGGUG